AGCCAGAAGCUUGCUUCUGGUGGAUGAGUGGCGAACGGGUGAGUAACACGUGAGUAACCUGCCCCUGAUUUCGGGAUAAGCCUGGGAAACCGGGUCUAAUACCGGAUACGACCACCGAACGCAUGUUCGGUGGUGGAAAGUUUUUCGAUCAGGGAUGGGCUCGCGGCCUAUCAGCUUGUUGGUGGGGUAAUGGCCCACCAAGGCGACGACGGGUAGCCGGCCUGAGAGGGCGACCGGCCACACUGGGACUGAGACACGGCCCAGACUCCUACGGGAGGCAGCAGUGGGGAAUAUUGCACAAUGGGGGAAACCCUGAUGCAGCGACGCAGCGUGCGGGAUGACGGCCUUCGGGUUGUAAACCGCUUUCAGCAGGGAAGAAGCGAAAGUGACGGUACCUGCAGAAGAAGUACCGGCUAACUACGUGCCAGCAGCCGCGGUAAUACGUAGGGUACGAGCGUUGUCCGGAAUUAUUGGGCGUAAAGAGCUCGUAGGUGGUUGGUCACGUCUGCUGUGGAAACGCAACGCUUAACGUUGCGCGUGCAGUGGGUACGGGCUGACUAGAGUGCAGUAGGGGAGUCUGGAAUUCCUGGUGUAGCGGUGAAAUGCGCAGAUAUCAGGAGGAACACCGGUGGCGAAGGCGGGACUCUGGGCUGUAACUGACACUGAGGAGCGAAAGCAUGGGGAGCGAACAGGAUUAGAUACCCUGGUAGUCCAUGCCGUAAACGUUGGGCACUAGGUGUGGGGGACAU
rnacentral:rRNA from 1 species